GUCGGUUUUGGCAGCCCCACAGUUGGUCAGGUGGCGGGCACCUUCUGGCAGACCAGCUCUCCAAACUGUGCUUCCAACCUAGUACCAGUGUUAUCUCCUGCCCAAGUGACAAGAUGGAAAAGGGCAGCAAGGGCAUGAAGGAGAAAUGAGUGGAGUCACCAGAAAGCCUGAGAGAUGUGAAGGUCCUCCUCAGUGGGCAGCCUGACUCGGUCACAUACAACACCCCACAAAGAGCUCACGGGUUUGGUGACAUAGUUUCAUCCUCCCAGCUCAAGCCUAGACAUGAGCCAGGAUGUGUCACUGUCUUGCUCUAGCUGGUUUAUGUUUCUCCUUAAUCAGUGAAAAUGUUACCUAGCUAAAUGGGAAUGAGGAACAAACUGUACCUAUCACCAGAAAAGCUCCCUCGAAAACAGUUUCCAAACAUAUGCAUGAGAAUGCUGGUCUAGUUUUCAGAAGAGUUGGAGGCUGACUGGCAAACCAUUCCACCCGUGAAGCAAUGUUGAUCCCAAAUUCCUGCCUGCUCCUGUGAAUCCUAGCUAGACUUAAGACUGGAAUGCUGAGGAGGUAGGGGGAUCUCCCCUUUGAGAUGCACAAGGACUAGCUCAAUCCUUUGAGACAAGCUCCAGCCAGCAUACCCUGUGAUUCAGUGGGGCACUAGGUGGCCUUUUACAGAGUCUUCUUAAAUGGGUAACAACUAGGAACAAGAGAGGACCUAAAAGCCAAGCAGACUUAGGAUACCAUAACUGCAGCAUUGCCAUGGUUGAGUUCCCUGAAAUUCAAAUAAAGGAAGGCUUCCUAGAAACCCUGUUGUGAAACCAGACUUUCUUCUGUGCUCUUAUGGCUGGUACAGGCUGCAGAAACACUUCCUGGGCACACCUGAAUGUGGGGAAUCCCCAGGAAGUUUUGGGUCAUCUGUUGGCACAGACAGACAGAAACUGCGGAGCUGGAGAAUACCUGCAGCCUCCCAACAGCCAGACUGAGGGAGAAAGGAAGAUCCUGGUGGAAGAGCAGCAGCUGUUCCUAGAUUAUGCUGCAUGGAAAAUAAAGUUGCUGUGACGAGAAAAUUAGAGGCCAGAGUGAGGAUGCAAAACAAUGCUGAUAUCAAAGAGCUACAGACUGAAAAAGAAGAGUUUGAAAAAAAAAGUCAAAGGACCAAGUGAGGGGAUAUUCAAAGGAGUAACAAGAUAUUCUUGUGUGCUAAACUCAGUGUGCAGGUGAAGCCUUGAUUUUAGGUAUGGAACAAAGGAAAAAUGUGGGUUGCAGGUACACACUGAAAAUAUGAACUAUAUUUUCCUAGAGGUCUCACCCCUAAGGCCAGGAGAAGUAAUGGGCAGGAUGGCACUGUGGUGCUGUUGAUGAGAGCAUGUCUCUCAGUAUCCAUCAUAAUCAGGGCUUUGGAAACUGAUCCUUCAAGCUGCUCAGUGUUCCCGGUGUCACCAGACAUCACAGCCAUGGGAGCAAAGAAAAAUUCAUAGCAGAUUCAGGAUCAGGCACAACAAAAGCAGGGAUAUGGAUUUCUGGGAGCCUCACUGUAGGGCAGAGCACAUAUAUGCUGGUUAACAAGAGAUUAUUUAAAUCUGCAUUGAGAUCACGGGCAAAAGCCAGAGCUUAGGAGACAGAGUGUGGUACGAGUGAGGAGACUUAAGUAAAUUGUAUUGAUGCAACUUGAGUCAAUUUGUAUUUGAUUUGGUCAACAAGCCUAAAGCUUGUAUAGAUAUUUGUAUUUCAGAGGGAUAAUGGAUUACUCCAGGUUAGGUCAAAUUGACUUCAGUUAAGGUCAGACAGGUGCUCACAUUUGGGCUGGACUUGUUUGUGAAGCUGCUGCCCCUUUGUGUUAAAGAACUAAGUGUGGGCGCUGAGUUAAUUCCUGCUCCUCAGCUGAUGGACUGCAACCUCGAGCUGAGGACAAACCUUGGGAACAGGUGUGCAAGCCCUUUGCCUCUUAGGUUAAGUCUGUGUGAACUACUCUUAAACUAAUUGAAUAAUCUUCCUGGAAAGAAGUUUCAAAACAUCUUAUAUUUUGCUGUUGCUUAAUUGCAUCAGCUUAAAAUUUCAAUCAAACUGGUGGAAAUUCACCUAUAGCCUGCUCUUUGAGCAAUAUGGUUCUUGAAAAUUAAACUGGCCUCAGACUGAAGAUGAAUGAACAGGAGAGGAAAAAAGCUUUGUCCUAGACAGGAAUCUUGAGAGUGACUCUGAUAGGUUUAACCUAACACAGUGCCACUGAUAUCAAAGCAGGUAUUCUUCCUUUACAUAGAAAUAAAUUUGAUCAGUAGUUAAGCUGGUAAUUCAGUAUUAUUCCACUAGAUGUAAGGUUUUUAUAACAUUACCAGCUUAUUAAUAGUCAAACCCUGAAACUUUACAUUAGUGCCAGGGAUGUGGGGGAGAAGCAGAAUGAAGACUGGAAAAAGAUGACAUUAUUUGCCCAGGGCAAAUGAUUAAAGAGUAAUCUACUUUAACAGUGUCACCUUUAUAUAUUUUCUCCUGUCUACCAUUGCCACAGUUUUCCACACCUCAGGGGAAGAGCUGGGACUCUUAGCAGAGCUCCUAAAUGGGUUCUCCUUUCUGUGAGAUACUCUUAUUAAUUUUUUUUUUUUUUUCUGGAAAGCAACAAGUAAAACCACCUCCAGACUUCACAGAACAACACAAUGAAGUUAGUCCUGUUACUGGCAUUGGGGAGUUGAAUGUUGGGACACAGACACUACUUUUAUGUUCCUGGGCACCAGAGUGCUGGCAUUGCUUUGACAAGAUGACAACCCUUACUUUGAUUUUUUCAUAUGCAUCAAUAUAUUACAUGGGUUUUCUUAAAGAUACCAUCAGCUUCUCUUUCCUGCUUAUUUAUUCAGCAAACCUUUCUGCAUCUGAGAGAAGAAGAACUUUUAAUUUUCAGGAAUCUGUGCUCUUUAAGUUAAUGUCUGUUACUAUAUUCUUUUACAUUUAUAAAGCCUAAGCUCCUCACGGUAGUUUGUACAACCACUUCCUAUAAAGGUGUGUCUGUGAUUAAAUAUAUACUAUUGGGAUAA